AUUGAACGCUGGCGGCAGGCCUAACGCAUGCAAGUCGAGCGGUAGAGUGAAGCUUGCUUCCCUUGAGAGCGGCGGACGGGGGAGUAAUGCCUAUGAAUCUGCCAGGACGUGGGGGAUAACGUUCGGAAACGGACGCAAAUAUUGCAUACGUCCUACUGGCGAAAGCAGGGGACCCUCGGGCCUUGCGCUUUCAGAUGAGCGUAGGUCGGAUCAGCUAGUUGGUGGGGUAAUGGCUCACCAAGGCGACGAUCCGUAACUGGUCUGAGAGGAUGACCAGUCACACUGGAAGUGAGAAACGGUCCAGACACUUGCGGUGGGACGCAGUGGGGAAUAUUACACAAGGGACGAGAGCCUGAUCCAGCACUGCGGCGUGUGUGAAGAAGGUCUUCGGAUUGUAGAGCAAUUUAGGUUGGGAGGAAGGGUUGUAGAUUUAUACGCUGCAAUAUUGACGGUACCGAGAGAAUAAGCACCGGCUAACUCCGUG
rnacentral:rRNA from 1 species